rnacentral:misc_RNA from 1 species
AAGUCGUAACAAGGUUUCCGUAGGUGAACCUGCGGAAGGAUCAUUAACACGCGUAAUCUCUAACGAUUACAAACCAACACGUGAACAUGUUUAAUUGCAAACCGCGAGUGGCAGGCCGCUUUGGUUUUGUAAGGAGUGUCUCGAAUGCUGUGACUCCUUAUGGGCCAGGGUGCUAUGGACUGUUGAACGCGGUAUACAAGUUAAAAAUAAACUCACCAGUACUCUAACCCUUUCACCCCUCUUUGAACAAUUAUUUAACUGAUUUUCCACAGUUUGAGUCGAAAGGCUCGAGCUGCACUGGAUCGUAAUCUUACGAAACAGUAAAGUACAACUCUAAGCAGUGGAUAUCUAGGUUCCCAU